AUGGUAUGAUUGCUCGUAGUGAGACUACUAGAGUUUGACUGACACAUAAAUAUGAUCUCAAUCAGAUCUUGUAGUAGAUGUUGGUGAUAAUUGGUCCACUAUAGAAGUAGGAUAUGCAUCUAGAUGGAAUCUAUCGAUUUUGAUAGAGAGGAGUAGUCCUAUGAAAUUUGAGAUGCUAAGUCCGAGAGUCUAUGGCCAC
rnacentral:lncRNA from 1 species